UGUCCAGUAGCACCUUAGAGACCAACUAAGUUUGUUCUGGGUAAAAAUCUGAAGAAGUGUGCAUGCACACAAAAGCUUAUACCCAGAACAAACUUAGUUGGUCUCUAAGGUGCUACUGGACA